AUUGAACGCUGGCGGCAUGCCUUACACAUGCAAGUCGAACGGCAGCACGGGUGCUUGCACCUGGUGGCGAGUGGCGAACGCGUGAGUAAUACAUCGGAACAUGUCCUGUAGUGGGGGAUAGCCCGGCGAAAGCCGGAUUAAUACCGCAUACGAUCCACGGAUGAAAGCGGGGGACCUUCGGGCCUCGCGCUAUAGGGUUGGCCGAUGGCUGAUUAGCUAGUUGGUGGGGUAAAGGCCUACCAAGGCGACGAUCAGUAGCUGGUCUGAGAGGACGACCAGCCACACUGGGACUGAGACACGGCCCAGACUCCUACGGGAGGCAGCAGUGGGGAAUUUUGGACAAUGGGCGAAAGCCUGAUCCAGCAAUGCCGCGUGUGUGAAGAAGGCCUUCGGGUUGUAAAGCACUUUUGUCCGGAAAGAAAUCCUUGACUCUAAUACAGUCGGGGAAUGACGGUACCGGAAGAAUAAGCACCGGCUAACUACGUG
rnacentral:rRNA from 1 species